rnacentral:tRNA from 1 species
GUCCCUGUUGCGCAAUGGAUAGCGCAUUUGACUUCUAAUCUAAAGGUAGUGGGUUUGAAUCCCACCUGGGAUG